GGAGACGGAAAGCAGUGAACCUCUGUAAAAGCUUAGAGUCUCCUAAGCAAGGGCAGGGCACACACCGGGACAGAACAGCAAAUCGAUGACUUUAGUCGCUAAACUAAAGCUUCAUUCUCCUUAAGAAUGACUCUCCUCCAUCGCCACCCCUCACCCCACUUGAGGACUUAUCUGGAAUUUCAAAUGUUUGUUCCUGCAAAUGCAUCUUCCAUCCUGGGUGACAGGAAGUGUCUGGUUCCAUGACGAUGAAGCAGCCACAAGGCCUCUCUGUGUCAGUGCUGGAGAGAGAGAGCUUCCUUCCUCCUGUCCUGGACCCCUCCUGGAGGGACGCUCCCAAGGCUGAGAUGACACAGUCAUUUCCCGCAUGCUGUCUAGCACUGACCCACCCAUCGCCCUUGUCCUGGUGCUGGUCUGCAGCAGCAGUGAGGGGGACCCCUUUGUGUGAGGGCUGCACUGGCCAUCGUUCAGGAAAAGGCAAUAGAGCCUCUGCAGUCUUUGAACGCCCUCGGUGCCUCCAGCGCAUUGGCCUUAGGACAACACUCCUUACGGGGGGUCUCUGAAGUCUGCCCGGAAGACACUCUUCCAGCCCACCGGGUCCUGCAGCCAAAGUGCAUGGUGUCCCCUGGCCCUGGAACAAGUCUCUGUGUGACCCUGAGGGUCCCUGUAGAAACAGCCACAUGGCCCCUCCUUCAUGGAGCCCAGCGUUCCUUGUUGAUUUUCGGCUUUCUUACCUGGCCUCCGCUGUCCAUCCUUGAGGUGGGCUGGUGCUCUAGGGACUUCCUGCAAUGACGGGUUUGUGUUGGGUACAGAAAGAAGCUAUUGUAGAACCGUCCGACGAUGGAGCCUUCAGGGACGCGGUGGCCCCGGAGCACAUGGUGACAUGCUGGAGAAGCUGGGCAGUGCCCAGGAGUUGGCACGUGGGGACUCGGUUCGCUGAGUUCGCUGAAAGCAAAUCCGUGUUUUGCAUGAGCGGCCUGUGUGUCUGCUGGCUCUAAACCUGCCUUGUUUUGUCCAGCUGUGGCUGGGAUCUGUGACUCCUUGGAAGGCAUUUCACCUCACUCAGAGUCACAAAAUUCAAGCAAUGACAAGAACAGUGCCUGGAGUAGAAUACCAUUUAAAUUUUAUUUAUAUUCAUUUAUUCACUGUCAAAUAUCCUUUUUAUUUAACCAAAUUUCAAACUGUUAGAAACAGUGGAGGUUAUGGAACCCAGAGUCAGGCAGAUCCUCAGAGUUUGUCUUUAUUUGCAGCUGUGAGCACAGAACUCACGUAUGUUCAUCUCAGAAAGAUCACAGAAGCACAGGUGCUUAGAAGAGCUGACACCAAGCAUGUGGAAGGAAUUUAACUUCUUCAUGUAUUGGUACAACUGAAACAAAUUAUGCCUAAGCUGGGGAGACCUGCACCAGCUACUGGAUUGGUUGAGGAAGAUGAGAUAAUAUGAUACCCUAUUUAAUAGGAAGAUUAUUUUACAUAUAAUUUUCCACAUAUAAUUUAGGGAAAAUAGUAAUUUAUUAAAGGACUCUCAGGGACUUGUAGUUGAGAAAAUGUUAACUAUUUGGGUUAAGGGACAUGUUCACUAACUCUGAGAUUUAUAGCAUAGUUGUGAGUGGCUGACAUUUACUAUCUACUAUUUAUUUUUAACGAGUAUAUAUGAUUAAUAAUUAGUAUUUACAAAGUACUUCCACAAAAAUCUUCUUCUGGUGCCCAUGACAAUCCUGUGAGGUAGAUAUUGUGGGUAUUUUAUAUCUACACUAUAUUUUAAAGCUAAAAGAACCAAAGCCGAAAUGAAUAGUUGGCUUGCUCAGGGCACCCACCCAGCCAGCACGUGGAGGUGUCUGAAAUUAACCUCAGGCUUCUUAUUUCCAAAACCAAUCUGUUGCCCAAGGUCCCAGCUCACAACUAGAGCAGAAGCCUCUUUGAACAGAUCACAGCUUAUGUAUGUAUUCACGUGUAAUCUCCACAGUAGCUACGCUAGGUCAUUGCAUGUACAUGAAGGUACGUGAAGGAAUGGAUGGAAUUAUCUUACAUUAGGGAAGAUGCUAACCUCCCAGCUGAAUUUUGGCGUUAGCAUGACACUUAGCAUCUUUCUUGGCUGUUAAAAUAAAGCAUAACAGGGUGGCAGGAGAGGAUGAUAUACCACCACUAAAUACAGUUGGAUCCCAAAGGUGUGUACUUGGCCUCUCUGUUUCUAUUGGUUCAUUGCCUUUUUCUUAUUCAAAAACAUAUUUAAAAUUUUGAAGUAUUUAAAACAAAAAACAAAUGCAAGUACCACAUACCCAUUCCUCAUGCCCUCGCCAAAUGGAUCUGGGGCAAGUUAGAAUGCUGCUCCAUUUCCUUCAAAUAGUUAAUUUUCAAACAAUAAGUAAUGUGUAAAAACUGUAUCUAAAGCCUCUCCCUCCAUCACAGAGUUAGCCACAGCUCUGAAGUCAGGACGGAUGUCUGCUAAGUUUGCCUAUAUUUACCUAUUUUUUCCUAUACUUAUAGGUACAUGCGUGUACCUGAAACACCGCCAAGCAUCCUUUUACAUUUUCAUGCUUUGAAUAAAUGUCAUCAUUUUUCCAA
rnacentral:lncRNA from 1 species